rnacentral:tRNA from 1 species
UGCCCGAUUGUGUAAUGGUAGCACACGGGUCUUUGAAGCCCUUUGUCCUGGUUCGAUUCCAGGUCGGGCAACCA